GUGUGUUUGUACAGUGUUAAUAAAGUUGUGUGUUUGUACAGUGAUAAUAAAGUUGUGUGUUUGUACAGUGUUAAUAAAGUUGUGUUUGUACAGUGUUAAUAAAGUUUUGUGUUUGUACAGUGUUAAUAAAGUUGUGUUUGUACAGUGUUAAUAAAGUUGUGUGUUUGUACAGUGUUAAUAAAGUUGUGUGUCUGUACAGUGUUAAUAAAGUUGUGUUUGUACAGUGUUAAUAAAGUUUUGUGUUUGUACAGUGUUAAUAAAGUUGUGUGUUUGUACAGUGUUAAUAAAGUUGUGUUUGUACAGUGUUAAUAAAGUUGUGUGUUUGUACAGUGUUAAUAAAGUUGUGUGUUUGUACAGUGAUAAUAAAGUUGUGUGUUUGUACAGUGUUAAUAAAGUUGUGUGUUUGUACAGUGUUAAUAAAGUUGUGUGUUUGUACAGUGAUAAUAAAGUUGUGUGUUUGUACAGUGUUAAUAAAGUUGUGUUUGUACAGUGUUAAUAAAGUUUUGUGUUUGUACAGUGUUAAUAAAGUUGUGUUUGUACAGUGUUAAUAAAGUUGUGUGUUUGUACAGUGUUAAUAAAGUUGUGUGUCUGUACAGUGUUAAUAAAGUUGUGUUUGUACAGUGUUAAUAAAGUUGUGUGUUUGUACAGUGAUAAUAAAGUUGUGUGUUUGUACAGUGUUAAUAAAGUUGUGUGUUUGUACAGUGAUAAUAAAGUUGUGUGUUUGUACAGUGAUAAUAAAGUUGUGUUUGUACAGUAAUCAGUGAGCUCUGUGUCACUAACAGUUGAAGACUGAUUGACGGGUGAGUAUCAGGAUAUUAUUGGUUGAAAUCAGUUAGUUCAUGCUGACGUAAGCACGCGUCACAUUUAGUUUCACAGGAAGACACAAUGAU